rnacentral:lncRNA from 1 species
UGGAGCUGGGGGUUUGAGCUGGGGCACUGGAGUGGGGUGGGGUGUCCAAGCACCUCCUGGCCCCUCUGAACCAUAGCACCAAGGCUGGCAUCCUCCAGCACCCAGGAAAGACAGAGGCCUGCUCAAGGCCUGGCACCAAGACCUAUGGACUCCAGGGCCUGGGUUCUGACCACGCUGUUGCCUGGCACCCUCCUCCCCAUGUGAGAGCUGGUGGGGAAACCCGCCCCACAGAGCUCCCCCCACCACCAGGCAGCACGAAGGUUCUUCUUUCUGCAGCUGAAGCCACCUGCCUGGGCCGCAAGCCUUGGCCUCACCUGGAGCUCAGCUCCCCGCUCCCGAGCCCAGCCAAGCCCAGGUCCUGCUCCCUCCCCAAGCCUGACGCCUGACAUCCCUCCACUGCCGGCGGCUGCUCUGCCUGCAGUGUGACAGGGAAUCUCUGUUGCAACGGAGGCCAGCUCAGUCCAGCGGGGAGGAGGAGCUGUCCCGGGCCGGUGGGCAGGGCCAAUUGGGAGAGACAGGUGUCUGGAAGGACCCGGAGGAUGAGGCCUGGAGCUAAAGGCUGGACCCUGAGGACACUGUCCUGCCGGCUCGUCUGGAGCAGGUCAGGCCCAGCAGGGCAUCCCCCGGAUAGUCCCUCAGAGCACGUCCAGGCUGUGCCCACUUCCCAAGGACAUCACCAAGUCACUGUCCACCCUCAGAGCACCUGCUCCUCACACACGCUGUACCCCGGACUCCCCCGGGUGCCAGGUGGGUGCUGUGCCUGCCUCUUGAUUCUGGGAACCUCCUCUCCAGCCUGGUCCCUCACCAGAGGCAGCCCUUAAAGACCAUCCGCCCUACCUCCUCAUUUUACACUCGGGGAAACUGAGUCCCAUAGAACAAACAGGCAGCCGCACCAGGCCUCCCGCUCUCAGGGAUAGGCCAGCGGGGAACGAGGAGUGACCAGAACCCAGGACUCCCGCCCUCAUCUGACAGCCACUUAGCCCACUUCCCACUGGGGACUCUUCCUUGGAAGGUUGCUCUGGAAACCCCCUACUGUGUGGGGUAACCUCGCCGGGCACCCCACCCUGGCCGAGCACUGCCAUGCCACACAAGAAGGAUGGAACCUUCCUCCCCAAGCUGGGGUGGGGCAGGGGCUGGGGGAGAUGGAAGGCCCUGCACCGCCCCCAGCCUCCCUGCCACUCCCCACACCUGGGAGAUGCUCAGGACCCCCAUGUAGCCACGGCCGCUCCCCCCAGCUUCUUACCAGGUCGAGGACAGAUGGGGACGGACGCUGCUGCCUCGGCACCUGCUGAUUAGUGCGGCCCACCCUGAGGGGCGCCCCUGUUCCCCAAGGUGGUUGGGAGGGCACUCGCGGGUCCUGGGGAAGUUGGAUGGCCCUGGGAAUGGCGGGUCCUGGAGGGUGCGGGAGCCUGAGGGGGAACUUGGGGGUCUUAGGUUAGACCGGGGCCUCCCCGCGUGGGGAGGGCGCAGCAGACUGUACCUGGGGGCGCAUUGGCCGUCGUCAAACUCGAAGGUCCGGUUGGUGUAGCCCCCGCCGCGCGCCUCCCGGCAGACGCCCCCCGGGGUCCGCGCCCCGUCAGGGAGUGGCAUGCGGCCUGGCAGCUCGGACCCGACCCGAGGGAGAAGCGAGUGGGAGCCGCCACCUUCUUCCCUCGCGUUGCCCUGAAAAACAUUUUUUUUUUCCUCGCAGAUUAGCGAGGAAAAGACGCCAGUUCCAGGGUCGGGUGCAGGCGUCUG